rnacentral:rRNA from 1 species
UGGGGAAUUUUGGACAAUGGGGGCAACCCUGAUCCAGCCAUACCGCGUGAGUGAAGAAGGCCUUCGGGUUGUAAAGCUCUUUCGGCGGGGACGAAACGGUCCGUGACAACACCACGGACUAAUGACAGUACUCGCAGAAGAAGCACCGGCUAACUACGUGCCAGCAGCCGCGGUAAUACGUAGGGUGCAGGCGUUAAUCGGAAUUACUGGGCGUAAAGCGUGCGCAGGCGGCUCCUUAAGUCAGAUGUGAAAUCCCCGGGCUUAACCUGGGAACUGCGUUUGAAACUGAGGGGCUAGAGUGUGGAAGAGGGGGGUGGAAUUCCAGGUGUAGCAGUGAAAUGCGUAGAGAUCUGGAGGAACACCGAUGGCGAAGGCAGCCCCCUGGGCUAACACUGACGCUCAUGCACGAAAGCGUGGGGAGCAAACAGGAUUAGAUACCCCCGUAGUCCCUGAGCGGGCUGGCAAGGCGCAU